rnacentral:rRNA from 1 species
UACGUAGGGUGCAAGCGUUUAAUCGGAAUUACUGGGCGUAAAGCGUGCGCAGGCGGUUUUGUAAGUCUGUCGUGAAAUCCCCCGGGCUCAACCUGGGAAUUGCGAUGGAGACUGCAAGGCUAGAAUCUGGCAGAGGGGGGGUAGAAUUCCACGUGUAGCAGUGAAAUGCGUAGAGAUGUGGAGGAACACCGAUGGCGAAGGCAGCCCCCUGGGUCAAGAUUGACGCU